rnacentral:rRNA from 1 species
GACGAACGCUGGCGGCGUGCUUAACACAUGCAAGUCGAGCGAGGCCCUCCUUCGGGGGGUGCCCUAGCGGCGAACGGGUGAGUAACACGUGGGCAACCUGCCCUCAGCUCUGGGAUAACUCCAAGAAAUUGGUGCUAAUACCGGAUGUGACCGCUGACCGCAUGGUCUGGUGGUGGAAAGAUUCAUCGGCUGAGGAUGGGCCCGCGGCCUAUCAGCUUGUUGGGGGGUGAUGGCCUACCAAGGCGACGACGGGUAGCCGGCCUGAGAGGGUGACCGGCCACACUGGGACUGAGACACGGCCCAGACUCCUACGGGAGGCAGCAGUGGGGAAUA